rnacentral:tRNA from 1 species
GAGAUAGCUCAGUUGGUAGAGUUCUUGCAUUGCAUGCAUAAGGCCCUGGGUUCAAUCCCCAGUAUC